rnacentral:misc_RNA from 1 species
UCUCCGUGGGUGAACCUGCGGAGGGAUCAUUACCGAGCUCAUGCCCUUACGGGUAGAUCUCCCACCCUGUGUUAUUAUUACCUUUGUUGCUUUGGCGGGCCGCCAGGCUCCGGUCAGGCUAUCGGCUUCGGCUGGUAAGCGCCCGCCAGAGGACCCUAUAUCCUGAUUAUUAGUGUCGUCUGAGUACUAUAUAAUAGUUAAAACUUUCAACAACGGAUCUCUGGGUUCUG